rnacentral:rRNA from 1 species
UACGGAGGGUGCGAGCGUUGUCCGGAAUCAUUGGGCGUAAAGGGCGCGUAGGUGGCCUGCUAAGCGUGCGGUGAAAGCUCGGGGCUCAACCCCGAGUCGGCCGUGCGAACUGGUGGGCUUGAGCACUGUAGAGGCAGGCGGAAUUCCGGGUGUAGCGGUGGAAUGCGUAGAGAUCCGGAAGAACACCGGUGGCGAAGGCGGCCUGCUGGGCAGUAGCUGACACUGAGGCGCGGACAGCGUGGGGAGCAAACAGG